rnacentral:rRNA from 1 species
UUGGAUUCAACUGUACCCGGAUAUGCUCGGGCCGCCUCCUGCCAGAUGGCGUCGGUCGCCCGCGGCGAUUCACUUCGCUUGCGGUGUCGUUCCCGACGUUCACUCGGCUUGCGGGCGUAUCGCUCCGGGGCCGGGACAGCGCACUUCCUCCCUAGUAGAAACGUCGCGACCCGUUGGGUGUCGGUCAAAGGCCUGGGAUGGCAGACCGUGCGUACGGCUUUMGGGUCGUGCGCGCGGACUCCCGGUGACCCGGCCGGCUGCCCGACGGUAUGACCAGAGGAGUCGAUCCGCUGAAUGAGAAACACUAUGGUUAUGUGAAGCGUCCGGCCUCGCGCCGACGCGUGCGGGGUGGUGCCGACCUGGUCGGUGCGGGUGUCCGUGCUGCGUCACGGCCCCGGCCCUGUCUCGCCGUCGGUAGUCGGGUGACCUCGGACUGGAUCGCUACUCCCGUCCGCGACGCCCACCUUCGGAUGGUCUCCGC